CAAUUCGCUUCAGGAGGGGGUCGCGGCCGAUUAGUUAGUUGGCGGGGUAAUGGCCCACCAAGACGAUGAUCGGUAUCCGGCCUGAGAGGGCGCACGGACACACUGGAACUGAAACACGGUCCAGACUCCUACGGGAGGCAGCAGUGGGGAAUUUUGCGCAAUGGGGGAAACCCUGACGCAGCAACGCCGCGUGGAGGAUGAAGUACUUCGGUACGUAAACUCCUUUCGAUCGGGACGAUAAUGACGGUACCGGAAGAAGAAGCCCCGGCUAACUUCGUGCCAGCAGCCGCGGUAAUACGAGGGGGGCAAGCGUUGUUCGGAAUUAUUGGGCGUAAAGGGUGCGUAGGCGGUUUGGUAAGUCUUGUGUGAAAUCUCUGGGCUCAACUCAGAGACUGCACGAGAAACUGCCGGGCUUGAGUGUGGGAGAGGUGAGUGGAAUUCCUGGUGUAGCGGUGAAAUGCGUAGAUAUCAGGAGGAACACCUGUGGCGAAAGCGGCUCACUGGACCACAACUGACGCUGAUGCACGAAAGCUAGGGGAGCAAACAGGAUUAGAUACCCUGGUAGUCCUAGCCCUAAACGAUGACUGCUUGGUGUGACGGGUACCCAAUCCCGCCGUGCCGUAGCUAACGCGUUAAGCAGUCCGCCUGGGGAGUACGGUCGCAAGGCUGAAACUCAAAGGAAUGACG
rnacentral:rRNA from 1 species